CUGAAUAUUAAUAGUUAUUUUCUUGAAACUCUAAGAAUUUGGCGGUAAUAUAUUUUUUUAGAGGAACCUGUUUUUUAAUCGAUGAACCACGAUACUUUCUACCUUUUAUAUUUAUUUGUAUACCUCUAUUUAGAAUGUUUUUUUAGGAUAAUUUUCUUUUUCUU
rnacentral:rRNA from 1 species